CUUAUGAAAAGACCAAAACCAAUGCUGUCCAAUCCAAACCAAUCCUGUCCAUCUCUCCAUCUCUCCACAUUUCCUAACCUGUCUGUGACACUUAUAUAUAUGCUGUCAUUUAAAAAAAAAAAAAAAAAAGGUUAAAUAAUUUCCUAAAGCAGCCGGUAACUGCAGUAGUCAACAAACCGUACUCAAACAACAGGAAAUAGUAGGGAGACCGGGGAUGGUUGUAACAAAGGGAUAGUUGUAACAGCAUCACUUUCACCAAUAAGGGAUAACAUAAGAGUCAUGUGAUCAAUUUCAUGUAUAUCCACUUCCUCCCUGAUCUUGCAUGUGAAUUUGGAUGGCUGUGAGAGGAAGUGUGCAGAUUUUACAGUCAAAACAUCAAUUUUCAGUAUGCCAAGACAGUGGGUGAGGAAAACAAAUAGGGGUGUGCCUGCACAUGUACUUAAAGUUGCAUCAGAUGAAGUGAGGCAGGGAAAAGCAGUGAGGUCAGUCACCAAAGACUACUCCAUCUGCCAUGUGAACAAGGUUCAAGAAAGCUGCCCAGUGUGGGCUAUCACAGCAGUCAAAAAGUCUUCAAUGCACAGUAGUCCCUCUACUGUAAGACCAUUUCCCAAAGCAGGGCCAAGAAAGACCACUGGUACGACAAGGAUAAAGUCAGACAUCUACACAGAUACAAGCAGGCCUUGGAGGAAGAAGAAAAGAAGAGUAGUAAGAAGAAUGUGAAAAUGGCCAUAUUUGGAAAGAGGAAACGCAAACAAAAUAAUGCAGAGAGAAAGACAGCCAAAAAGAGAUCCAAGAAGAACAAGGAUAAGGGUGAGGACACCCCAGAUGAAGAUGAUUUUUGAAUUGUGUGCAUGGAGCCCUUUGGAAAUUCCAAACCCAAAGAAAAGUGGAUCAGAUGUGUAAAUUGCAAGUUCUGGGCCCACGAAAACUGCACUCCUGGAAAACCCACAUACAUCUGUCACCACUGUGACUCUGAUCACUCUGAUUAAAUGGAUAACACACACAGAUACACACACUCAAGUUCAUGUUUUAUCAUUUAAGACAGACACAGUAUGCAUGUUUGUUGUUUUACUAAUUGUCAAACGUCUUCCUGUAAUUUUACAUGGAUUAUGAGCUACUUCUGACCUCCUGCUGAAGGUUUCCAUUUGUAUGUGUAACAUUCAUAGGUAUUAUCAGGAUAUGUUCUUUAAAAAAGCUCUUUUAAUGUUAACACUGACACUGUUCUUCAUUUAGCCAUCAGUGAUGAGUUAUUUUUGUUCUUAGUGAAGCACAGGAAGAUGCUUUAGUGUUGGCACAUGCACAAUAAACUUAUAUAGAUGCAUA